AGCGGAGAGCCCCUGCCGUGUUCAUUAUCAACCCUUUUAAAUAAUAACCAGAUUUCCAACAACACCACCGACGUGAGUCCUUUGUCUGGAGGAGCCCAAAAUAAGUCAGCUAGGUGGAGUUUGGCAGCCAUACCAGCAAUCAUCCACACACACUCCCAUGGUGACCUGUUUGUCAAGUUAAUUUAAGAACGGUUUCCAAGGAAGGGUCGAGUAAGCAACACAAGCUUUCAAGCGGUCCAUAUAGGCUCGACCACCUGAUGUCUCUUCAGGCCUGCGACUCUGAUGUGGUUCCAGAGUAUCCAAUGGCUCCAAUCCUCAGAAUACCAACUCUCUCAGACUUUGCAUGUUGAAUCGGACCAGACACUGUCCGCACGCUGAACACAACAAACAGAUUUGUUCCCGAGCUCGUCUGAGUCUCCCCAAACAUUUCAGAUGGCCAACGUUUGGGCCAGUGUGUUCCACGCUAAAAGGUGCUGCCUGUAGCAGAGUAGAUAUGAACCCUGGCUUCCACCUCAUAAGAGACCAGACCUUCAUCAUAAUCACCAAACAGCCCC
ensembl:lncRNA